GACGAACUGUGCGAACGUUAUUCGGAAUCACUGGGCUUACAGGGUGCGUAGGCGGCUUGUUAAGUAGGGUGUGAAAUCCCCCGGCCCAACCGGGGAAUGGCGCUCUAAACUAGCAGGCUUGAGUGAGCUAGGGGUGCACGGAACUUCCAGUGGAGCGGUGAAAUGCGUAGAGAUCCGGAGGAACACCGAAGGCGAAGGCAGUGUCCUGGCUGGUGACUGACGCUGAGGUGCGAAAGCUAGGGGAGCGAACGGG
rnacentral:rRNA from 1 species